CACUAUUCUCACAACUUAGAAAAAUUCGGUAAUUUUACCUAAAAAUCAGUUUAAAUAUCCCCAAUUGUUCCCCUAACAAUUAGAUACCUGAUGCGGUAUCUAGUCAAGGUUCAUGGCACUCAUUUGGUUAUUAGUCUUUUUAAUAUAGAAUAAUUACCUACUAUUUAUGUUUUCAAUAACACUGAUUUUUUUUUUUAAGAGAGUCCAAGCCAAGUGUCUUGUAGGAUAUCCCACAUUCUGGAUUUGUCUGUUUCCUCAUGGCUCAAUUCAGUUGUCCUGGUGAGUGAAAAACUGCAAUGACCUUUAGAGAAAAGGACUCAAACACUGUAGCAAUGAAGAGUUUGGACUUGCCAUCUG
ensembl:lncRNA